rnacentral:rRNA from 1 species
GACGAACCGUCCAAACGUUAUUCGGAAUUACUGGGCUUAAAGGGUGCGUAGGCGGCGCGGAAAGUUGGGUGUGAAAUCCCUCGGCUCAACCGAGGAACUGCGCCCAAAACUACCGUGCUCGAGGGAGAUAGAGGUGAGCGGAACUUAGGGUGGAGCGGUGAAAUGCGUUGAUAUCCUAAGGAACACCCGUGGCGAAAGCGGCUCACUGGGUCUCUUCUGACGCUGAGGCACGAAAGCUAGGGUAGCGAACGGG